rnacentral:rRNA from 1 species
UAGGGAAUCUUCCGCAAUGGGCGAAAGCCUGACGGAGCAACGCCGCGUGAGUGAUGAAGGUCUUCGGAUCGUAAAACUCUGUUAUUAGGGAAGAACAAAUGUGUAAGUAACUAUGCACGCCUUGACGGUACCUAAUCAGAAAGCCACGGCAAACCACGUGCCAGCAGCCGUGGUAAUACGUAGGUGGCAAGCGUUUUCCGGAAUUAUUGGACGUAAAGCGCGCGUAGGCGGUUUUUUAAGUCUGAUGUGAAAGCCCACGGCUCAACCGUGCCGGGUGAUUGGAAACUGGAAAACUUGAGUGCAGAAGCGGAAAGUGCAGUUCCAUGUGUAGCGGUGAAAUGAGCAGAGCUAUGGCGGAUCACCAGUGGCGAAGGCGAGAUUAUGGUAUGUAACUGACGCUGAUGUGCGAAAGCGGGGGGAUCAAACAGG